UGAUUUUUUUUUUUUUUUACAAAAAGUGUGGAAAAACAGUGUAAAAAAAAUCCAGAAAGCUAUUUUUUAAAAAAUCUAGAAGAAAAUUAUGGAGUACUAGUUUUGCAAAUUUUACUUAAAAAAUCAUUUUUUCAGAUUUAUAAAAUCCAAAUUUCAAUAAAAUAAAUAAAUCAAUUUUCCCUAUUUAAAGAAAAUAGUGUUUUCCACCCUUUUUGUUUAAAAAAAAUCAGUUUCAUAUUUAAAAAAAUUCCACAUUUGUUAAUGAAAAUCCAAUCCUUUAAAAAAAAAAGGCUUACCACAUUUUUAAAAAAAAAUUAUUGUUCCAGAUUUUAUAAAAAAAUCAAUUUUUUCAGAUUUAGAAAAUCGGACUAGUAAUAAAAUGCCAUGUGUAAUUUAAAUAUUGUUUUUUUAAAAUUUAGUGUUGACCGCUAGUCAAAGAGCAUAAAUGAGCCAAAAAUUGAACUGAGGGUAUAUUUAGCAAAACAGAUAGAUGAAGGAUAUUUUAGAUCUUUUUUAAUAGUUCAAGGGCAUUUUUGCCCUUUUCAGUUAAAUUUUUAACAGAAUAUUUGGGAGUUGACUAAAAGUGCGAUACUUAUGCAAAUAUAAUGGACUAUUAAUACUCCAUGUAAAAAAACAUGUAUGAUUUUAAUUCCAAAUUAAAAAAUAAUGUACUAUUUUUGUCCCUUUCUCUGACUAAUUGCAUCACUUUAACACUUCACAUCAACAAAUCAAUCAUAUUAAAAUAAAUGGGCUAUUUCUAGCGGAAAUCAUAAGAUUUCAUUGCGUCACGCAAUUUGUGUACUAAAUUUAAGCGGACAAUUGAUUUGCUCUACAUUAUGUUAAUGGUAACAUGCCAUUUGUCUUAUUGAUAGCACUAUUAGAUAUGAAGACAAUGGCGACUGAUUUCUUCACUUUCUAUGUCUAAUUCAUAAAGUUAUUGGAAUAUUUCUUUUUCUAUGUUUUACGAGUCGUAAUUAAACAGUGUAAAAAGAACUAUAAUUUGAUAUUAGACUUCUUUAUCUUUUUUCCUUAAUAAAUUCUUAGAGUAUGAUGGUUCACCGUUCAUGCUUGGCCGUAUGAUCUUUUCAUAUUGAGCUAAUUUCUGUUUUUUUUUUUGUUUCAUUUUCAUCAUCUCAUAUUUAUAAUUUAGUACUUAAUGAUUGUGUUAGUAUCCUACUUCAACAUAUGUAUUUGAUUCGACUUUCUUGAUCUCUUUUGUAUUUGAUUCAACUUUUUUGAUCUCCCCUCUUUUCAUGCACAUCAUCACUUUUCUUUACUACCUAAAUUAUUGGUUUUAGUGAUUCUACUGUAUUGUGAUUUGUGACUGAGAAUUUUAAUGAUAAGAUAAAAGUCUCACUCUUCAUCUUUUUGUUAUAUUCAAUGUAUAUUUGAAACAACAACAAUAACAACCAUGAUGAUGAUGAGGAGGAUGAUGGUAGUAGCAGCAACAAUAUCAGCUUGAAUUUUUCCCCUAAACUUAGCACCUUCUUCUUGUGGAAUAAAGUUUUCUUUUAUCUAUAAAUAGGAGGCUUUCUUACCCCAAUUGUAUGAAUAGAUUAUUGAGAAUAAAAAUCUCUACAACUUUCUCCAUCUCUUAUUAUUAUUAUUAUUAUUAUUAUUAUUAUUAUUAUUAUUAUUAUUAUUAUUAUUAUUAUUAUUAUUAUUAUCAUUUUAUAACAUAACUGAUGACGUGACCAAAAACAUUAUUCCUAACGGCCAAAAGGAUCAUCGAGUGAUGUUUGAUUGAAAUAAUGGGAGUUGUCUCUAUUCAUUGUCUUACCAUUUUUAAUGCACGACCCUCAACAAUGUAAGUUACUAUUGCUUUUGGCCUCAAGUUCUUUGAUUUUUUUUAAAAAAAAAAAAAAAUUGUUAAAAAAAUUGAAAAUAAUUUAAUUUUAAUAUUCUAUUUUAUUCUAAAUGUAAGUGUUUUAUAGCCACAUACAUUAUGAUAUAUUUAAGAUUAGACGUUUUAAAAGUUCUAUAAUCACUCAAAAUAUUAUGUGACAUAUUUAAGACCACAAGAUUUAUUUUUCUUAGAUUUUGUAUCUAGUUAAAUAGGCAUAUAUAAAAUGGAAGGGCAGAGUAGUUUGUGAUGAAGAGUUUGUCUAGAGUUUUAGUUAUAUACAUUAUUAGUGUAAAUUUGUUUUACAUUGCUAGGUCACACUAAAAUUAGGGCAAUGGCCUUUUUUUGGGUCUGCUAUGAGUUUUUAGCCACCAUUUCAACAGUAACAAGGAAAUAGUCACACUUUAAUGUGAAAAUUAGCAAUUUCAAACAAAAAUAACCCUACUUAAAACAUGGAAGAAUUUACAAAGUUUGAACCCCAUGACAUGUUCCUUGGUUUUGAAAACUUAUAAAGGUAUGAAACCAAUGAAUCCUUUCUUGGUUUUGAAACUCCAGCAAAAUAUUGAACCUAAUGAGACCUUCCUUGGUUUUGAAAACUUAUAAAGGUGUAAUGACCCUCCGGAUCAUUUUGAGCUUUUAUAAUAUUUGUUCCCAAAAUACCCUUCUCGUAGAAUUAAAAUAGUAUUUUUGACUUGCGAGGAUGGGUGGCGAAGUUCCCGAGGCAAUCGGGUGAGUAUCAGAAAAGAAUUAGUGAAAAAGGAAGCUUGACCAAAGUCAAUAGCGAGGUAAAUGGGUCUGUAUCGGAGUUUCGUCGAUUUGAUUAGGUCCGAAAUGUGAUUUUUGACUUAGUUGAGUAGUUGGUUCGGGUCCCUGGGGGCUCAGGUGAGUUUUGAACCUUAGGUUGGAAACUAGUUAAGUUUAAAGUUUAGAGUUGACCACGGUCAACAUCGUGUCAACACGGCCCCGUUUCGACGUUUGGAGUGAGCGAGCAGGUUCGUAGCGUAUUGUGUGACUGGAAUGCAUAUUUGAUAUAUGUCCGGGAGGUUCCAGAUGAGUUCCACAUGUUAAUUGAAAGAUUGAAGACACCAGAAAUUUCUGGUAUCUGGUGUGACCGCAAUUGCGUUGAGGGAGCACAAUCGCGCUCAAGGGAGAGAUUUUUUGUCAGCGCUAUCGCACUAUAGGGGUGGGAUCACUCAGUAGGGGAUAUUUCGGUCAGAGCGACUGCGCUGUGGGUGGGAUUCUUCGUCAACGUAUCGCGCUAGCUUGAGUGUAUAGGGUGCACUGGGCCACAACGAUCACGCCAAUUAGGUUUCAGGUGUUAAAAAGGAGCAGAGUCGGGAUUUGAGGUUUAUUUCACUAUUGUUGGUGUUCUAGAGCUUGGAUUUAGGUGAUCUUGGAGGCUAUUUUCUCGUUUUCGGGGGGAGGGGGAGGGGGGUUGGUUAAAAUUCUAAUUCAUAUUUUUUAUAUUACCUCUUGAUUUCUUUCAUUAAUUAGCUUCCUAAUCCAUGAUCUUGAGUGGGAAAUUGGGGUUUAGCCUUAGAGUUGAAAUUGUGUAUUUCUUCGAUUUCAAGGUCGAUUUGUGGAUAGUUUUACCCUUGUGGGCUCGGGUUACCUUUUGGGUUUGUUUUUGAGUUCUAAUCAAAGUAUUGCAAUAUGCAUGUCAACAGGCUUGUUUACUUACGAAUAACGAGUAUUUGAUAGAUCGGGAACAACCCGAGGCUUUGAGGAAAGCGAAGGCGAUCUUUUGAGGUUUUUGGAAUGUUUGCUCGACAUUCGAGAUUCGAUUCCGAGUACUAGCGGGCCUCGUGGAGCGCAUUAAGCUCGAGUACUGUUGAUUGGAGAUUGUGGUAAGCUGUCUGGUUGUCCCGUAGCACCCUUCUCCCUCUAUCCCUUUUAUAUUUUGUCUUCUAGUAUUUAGACAGUGUAUUUCCAUAUUUUCGACAAUGUAUUUUUGUAUUCAUACUUGUAGCUUAUUGUACUAGCUCUUGUACUUAUAACACGAAUCUUGGGAGGCUUUGUCGUUUCUGCAUUUCUUAUUAUAUGACUUGGUAUUAGAUA